rfam:Picea glauca, whole genome shotgun sequence.
GGGUGCGAUCAUACCAGCGUUAAUGCAUCAGAUCCCAUCAAAACUCCGUAGUUAAGUGCGCUUGGGAUAGAAAAAAACUGGGAUGGGUGACCUCCCGGGAAGUACUAGUGUUUCACCCU